UACGGAAGGUGCGGGCGUAUUCGUUUUGAUUGGGUGUAAAGGGUAUGUAGGCGGCUAUUGUUGUUGUUGUGGGCAAAAAAGCGGAGUAUUCCUAUGCUCUGUCCGUUGAACGACACAUAGCUUGAGUUAAAGAUAGGUCGGAAUAAUUUCUUGUGUAGGGGUAGAAUCCAUCCAUACAAGAACGAGUGCCAACCGGCGAAGGCAUCCCUCCCGCUUUAACUGACGCUAAGGUACGGAAGCCUAGGGCGCAAACGGG
rnacentral:rRNA from 1 species